UACGUAGGGGGCUAGCGUUGUCCGGAAUCAUUGGGCGUAAAGAGCGUGUAGGCGGCCCGGUAAGUCCGCUGUGAAAGUCGGGGGCUCAACCCUCGAAUGCCGGUGGAUACUGUCGGGCUCGAGUGCGGAAGAGGCGAGUGGAAUUCCUGGUGUAGCGGUGAAAUGCGCAGAUAUCAGGAGGAACACCAAUUGCGAAGGCAGCUCGCUGGGACGUUACUGACGCUGAGACGCGAAAGCGUGGGGAGCAAACAGG
rnacentral:rRNA from 1 species